AACGAACGCUGGCGGCAUGCUUAACACAUGCAAGUCGAACGUGAAAGUGGGCUUCGGCCCGCGAGUAAAGUGGCGCACGGGUGAGUAACACGUGGAUAAUCUACCCGAUGAUCUGGAAUAACACUUCGAAAGGGGUGCUAAUACCGGAUAAGCUCACGACGUCUUCGGACGAUGUGGGAAAAGGGGGCUUCGGCUCCUGUCAUCGGAUGAGUCCGCGGCCCAUUAGCUAGUUGGUAGGGUAAUGGCCUACCAAGGCGACGAUGGGUAGCUGGUCAGAGAGGAUGGUCAGCCACACGGGAACUGAGACACGGUCCAGACUCCUACGGGAGGCAGAAGUGGGGAAUUUUGCGCAAUGGGCGAAGGCCUGACGCAGCAAUGCCGCGUGAGUGAUGAAGGCCUUCGGGUCGUAAAGCUCUGUCAGAGGGGAAGAACCUCCUGCCGGUUAAUACCCGGCGGGCCUGACGGUACCCUCAAAGGGAGCACCGGCUAACUCCGUGCCAGCCGCCGCGGUAACAC
rnacentral:rRNA from 1 species